rnacentral:rRNA from 1 species
UACGGAGGAUGCAAGCGUUAUCCGGAUUUAUUGGGCGUAAAGCGUCCGCAGGUGGUUUUUCAAGUCUGCUGUUAAAGCGCGAGGCUUAACCUCGUACAGGCAGUGGAAACUGGAUGACUAGGGUAUGGUAGGGGUAGCGGGAAUUCCCAGUGUAGCGGUGAAAUGCGUAGAUAUUGGGAAGAACACCGGUGGCGAAAGCGCCUUGCUGGACCUGCACUGACACUGAGGGACGAAAGCUAGGGGAGCGAAAGGG